rnacentral:rRNA from 1 species
UAACGCGUGAGGAACCUGCCUCAAAGAGGGGGACAACAGUUGGAAACGGACUGCUAAUACCGCAUAAGCCCACAGCUCGGCAUCGAGCAGAGGGAAAAGGAGUGAUCCGCUUUGAGAUGGCCUCGCGUCCGAUUAGCUAGUUGGUGAGGUAAUGGCCCACCAAGGCGACGAUCGGUAGCCGGACUGAGAGGUUGAACGGCCACAUUGGGACUGAGACACGGCCCAG